AAAAGGAAGGGAAAAUUGGUUUUCUCCAAAUAAUAAGCAUUAAAAAUAUAAAUAUUUUUUAUCUCGAGAAUUCGUGAGCAUUGCAGUUGGAAUAUAGGAUUCUAUCGCACAUCAACAGUUCUAAAUUGGCAAGGGAUAAAGAAUUUGAGAGCUAUUAAGAUGAUUAAAGAAGAUUUGUGCAUAUUGAGAUGGGGUAAAAAAGAUUGUAAGCUCCUGAUAGUGUUUGAGUCGAGAAUUCUAUUGCAGAUUGGCAGUGACAUAAUGGCAUGGGAUGAAAAGCUUGUGAGAUUGCUGAAGGGAGUUCAGACUUCAGUUACGGAUUGAGAGUAGUAAUGCACUGACACCAUCCGGAAGAGUUUUGUAAGCUACUGAGGAAGCUCAGAAGAACUGUAGUUCUGAAAUCAGAGUUUUUCUGACAGAUUCGCAAUGAUAUACUGACUUGAGAUAAAGAUAAAAAAAGAGAGUCUUUAAUCUACUGACAUAGCUAAAAAGGAUUACAGUUUUGUGUUCAGAUUGACAGUGUUUAUUUUGGCAUAGGUUCAGAAUUCUAUCAUAAUAAAUGUUCAUGUCAGGAUUCCUCCAGAUGUGGGAAAAGGAUCGGUUGCAGUCCAAUUCUGGUUGCCUCCAUCUUCAGGCGCUGUUUCUGGGAAACAGCUGAAUACUAUUGAGCAUGAGAUGUUGAUUUCCAGAUGUGGCAGCAAGUCCUGUCAGUAGCCAAUCACCCAUUGCUGCUGACUCACAGAAGCUUGAAGGGUUCCCCGAGAACAGAAGAGGCCAAUGUGAGCUUUCUCUGGUCUGGACAUGCUUUCCCGAGCAAGAAGAGGUUUCCUUCAACAUGCUUAGUGGGAAACCUCAUUUCAGAUGAUAAGCUUUUGCGUCAAGGAAGAGGAUUCAUAUGACAUUAACUUAGCAGCUUCAGGAACAGUGUUUCUCGAUAAGAACUCCACCACCAAUCCCUUUCAAGAACUGUGCAAGACAGGUUUAUACUUUCUCAGCUUUGGAUACUGAUAAGUCAAUAGGUGCAAGCACGAGAUCUCAUCUAUUGUCUUCUUGCAAAGAGAUAAGUGAUAAAUUAUUAAUUUUUCUUAUAAUUUUGAUUUUAU
rnacentral:lncRNA from 1 species